rnacentral:lncRNA from 1 species
CAGCCCACUUGGAGGGGUGGGCAGAAGCCACUCCCCCGCUUGGAGUUUGGAGGAGUGGGCAGAAGCCACUCCCCCGCUUGGAGUUUGGAGGAGUGGCUUCUGUCUAGCCACUCUACCAUAAAGGCCUGAUUUGGUAGAGUGCUGCAAAGAUGAUUGUCCUUCUGGAAGGUUCUCCCAUCUCCACAGAGGAACUCUGGCGCUCUGUCAGACUGACCAUCGGAUUCUUGGUCACCUCCCUGACCAAGGCCCUUCUCCCCCGAUUGCUCAGUUUGGCCUGGUUGACAGCUCUAAGAAGAGUCUUGGUGGUUCCACUGUGUUCUUGGGGACCUUCAACGCUGCAGAAAUGUUUUGUUACCCUUCUCCAGAUCUGUGCCUCGACACAAUUCUGUCUCGGAGCUCUACAGAUAAUUCCUUCGACCUCAUGGCUUGGUUUUUGCUCUGACAUGCACUGUCAACUGUGGGACUUUUAUAUAGACAGGACUACCUGGUAUGAUGACUCCUUGCUGUCCCCAGUCCACCUGGCCGUGUUGCUGCUCCAGUUUCAGCUGUUCUGCCUGCGGCUAUGGAACCCUGACCUGUUCACCGGACGUGCUUGUUGCACCCUCGACAACUACUAUGAUUAUUAUUAUUUGACCAUGCUGGUCAUUUAUGAACAUUUUAACAUCUUGACCAUGUUCUGUUAUAAUAUCCACCCUGCACAGCCAGAAGAGGACUGGCCACCCCUCAUAGCCUGGUUCCUCUCUAGGUUUCUUCCUAGGUUUUUGGCCUUUCUAGGGAGUUUUUCCUAGGGAGUUUUUCCUAGCCACCAUGCUUCUUUCACAUGCAUUGCUUGCUGUUUGGGGUUUUAGGCUGGGUUUCUGUACAGCACUUUGAGAUAUCAGCUGAUGUACGAAGGGCUAUAUAAAUUAAUUUGAUUCGAUUUGAUUUGAUAUAGGAAUCGUUUUACUGUGGAUAUAGAUACUUUUGUACCUGUUUCCUCUAGCAUCUUCAAAGGUCUUUUGCUGUUGUCCUGGGAUUGAUUUGCACUUUUCGCACCAAAGUAUGUUAAUCUCUAGGAGACAGAAUGUGUCUCUUUCCUGAGCGGUAUGACGGCUGCGUGGUCCCAUGGUGUUUAUACUUGCGUACUAUUGUUUGUACAGAUGAACGUGGUACCUUCAGGCGUUUGGAAAUUGCUCCCAAGGAUGAACCAGACUUGUGGAGGUCUACAAUUUGGAGGUCUUGGCUGAUUUCUUUUGAUUUUCCCAUGAUAUCAAGCAGAGGCACUGAGUUUGAAGGAUGGCUUUGAAAUACAUCCACAGGUACACCUCCAAUUGACUCAAACAAUGUCAAUUAGCCUAUCCGAAGCUUCUAAAGCCGUGACAUAAUUUUCUGGAAUUUUCCAAGAUGUUUGAAGGCACAGUGAACUUAGUGUAUGUUAACUCUGACCCACUGGAAUUGUGAUACAGUGAACUAUAAGUGAAAUAAUCUGUCUGUAAACAAUUGUUUGAAAAAUUACUUGUGUCAUGCACAAAAUAGAUGUCCUAACCGACUUGCCAAAACUGUAGUUUGUUAACAAGAAAUUUGUGGAGUGGUAGGAAAAUGAGUUUUAAUGACUCCAACCUAAGUGUAUGUAAACUUCAACUGUGUAAUAUAUAUAUAUAUUUGUACUGGAGGAUAGUUGCCAGGUUCAACAAAAAACCUGUAGAAUGUGUUGUGUCCCCUCUCUGUUAAAAAAAUAACUUGAAUUCCUUCAGUCUUUUGUCAUGUUUUUUCUUUAUACACUAAUGGGCGAUGAGAGAUAUCCAAGUAAACAUCACAAAUUUUGAAUUGUUUUAUGAAAUCGCCAGUGUCUCUCAAAUAUGAGGGCAAUUGUCUUAUACUGGGGCGUAUAACUUCAAUUGAAGUUGUUAGAAUAGUGGAAUACACAAGGUGCAAUAUUCAAAUUUGGGAUUGCAUCAGCAGUUUUCCUCAUGUCAAUCACUGACAGUCACUCAAUUAGCCCAUGUCAGCUAACAUUUUAUAGAUUGAUAGGUAAGUUAGUCUAGCCAGCUAUCUAAACAUUUGGAGCAAUCAUGGCUGAGUAAUCAGGGGCCCUGACCUCCAGGCGUCCCCAUUGAUUUUGUUAGUCCCUCUCACUCAGAUAUCCUAUGCACAUGGCAAAAUGUGUAAAAUUGCAACCAAAUCUUGCUUAGGGACCCAAAAAGUGACUGAUG